rnacentral:lncRNA from 1 species
CCUGGGUUUACAGUUUGAGAAUCUUUGUUCAGGGCAAGGAUCGGGGUGGAGAGCGCUGAAGCUCAUGAUGUGAGGCAAAUCCUCUCCGACUGCAAUUCCUCCCUAACUACAUUCCCCUGGACGCUUUCCUUUACCUGGCACACCACUGAAAAAAAGAAGAGGAACCCAUGUUUCAAACCAACGGAUUGUUUAGCAGCCACAUCUGUACAAGCUCAAAAAAAAAAGAAAAGAAAAAGCCUGGGUGCUUUCUCCUUUGGCACCAGCGAGACAUCCAAACCAUGGAAACCUCUGCCCAUAUGGAAUGCUCACCCUGGUCCCACGGUGAAUCAUAAUAGAGACCCAAGCCAGUCACCUUUCCUGGCCCUCACAAACCAUUUCUGACCUGCUUGAGAGGUCUGCCCGGUUCUCCCAGAGACCUCAAUUAUUAAUUGGUGUGGAUGCCCAGAAGAACUGAAUUAACUGCAUGAGCAAACUUCUUAAUAUUGUUUAGAGUUGAAGACCAUGUAUAUACAAGAAGCGAGAGUAGAGACCUGCUACUAAGGCCAGUGGGAAAGCGAAAGCACUUGGUGAUCUCUUUACGCAUACCUGCUCCCCUUCCACUUUCCACCAUGACUGGAAGCACCAUGAGGCCCUCACCAGAUGGAGCUGCUCAAUCUUAAACUUUUCAGCCACCAGAAUUAUAAGCCAAAUAAACUUCUUUUCUUUAUAAAUUACCCAGCCUCAGGCAUUCUGUUAUGGCAACACAAGAUGGACAAAGACAAUGCUAGAACUACUAGAAAGUGAGUUUUCUCUUUUGCCCUGGACUGACCAGACACCACCACUUGGAGCCUGAAACUAAAGCUGAUGGAGUAGAAGGCAGAGCUGAUAGAGAGAAACAGAUUUGCGAUAAUAGCAUUUCUACCUUGUCUUUUCUACUGUAAGCAUAUUUUUACCUGUAAGUCCAGUCUUAUAGCAGUCUUACUUGUGGACUCUAACAUCACGUUAUAGAUUCAUGUUUUGGCUUAAACCAGGUUGAAUUGGGUUUGUCACUUACAAUUGGAGGAGUCUGGUUUAUUAUUGCAUCUACCCCAACCAAACUGGGAGGGACAGUGGAGGCACAAAAUGAACUGUGAACUUCCAAUCUGCAUACUUGUGUUUGACUCUCUUCUCCAUCAUUUUUUGGCUACAUGACCUGGGGCCAAUCUCUUAAUCACUCAGCAUGUCAGUUCCCAUUUCUAUAAAACAUGAAAGUAAAAUUCAUUUCCCUAAUGCUGAAGGUGGUAUAAGGACCAAAUGAUUACAGAAAAGCACUUUGAGAACAGCAAAGAACAGAUGUCAGGAUUCUCAUCUACAACCUAGACCAAUAAGAAUUGGAAGAUAUUCAUAAUGUCUCUCAAAGCAUUUCUUAAUUGAGAUGCUGGAGUAUUGCAGGUUACCUCAAGUGCUGAAUCUGGCCCUACGGGUUCCAGAAAAAUAGGAAAACAAUGAUGAUGCUUAUCUUAUUGAGAUAAACUAGCAUUUCCUGUUUCCAUUAUUCAAUUACAGGAAGCAUAACAUUUAUUUGCAAAUGCAAUUAGAAAGCUUAAAAUCUAAGCCUCAAAAUUGUGCUCUAUGAAAAUGAAUGUCAAUCUUUAUGUAGAGGAAGAAAGAACUAAGAAAAAAUUUUCCUACUCAUUGAUGAGUAAUUAUGUUCCAGAUCAUUUUGAGAAAUGACACCUGUGUGGUUUGAAACAACACAAAAAUAACACACAACCUGCACUGAAAUCAAAGUGUGGCAAGUCAACUUAAAUAUUUUUCAAAU